AACGCAAGUUGCGCCCGAAGCCAUUAGGCCGAGGGCACGUCUGCCUGGGCGUCACACAACGUUGCCCCCCCCAAACCUCAACCUCGAGGAGGACGGGGGGCGGAUGCUGGCCUCCUGUGCGCCACGGCUCGCGGUUGGCCCAAAUGCGAGUGCUCGGCGACGAGCGCCGCGGCAAUCGGUGGUUGUCCAACCCUCGGUGCCAUGCUGCGCGCGCGAGUCGCUCGCUGUGUUUACUCCACGACCCCCAAUGCGUCGCAUCCGCGACGCUCACAACGCGACCCCAGGUCAGGCGGGGCUACCCGCUGAGUUUAA
rnacentral:misc_RNA from 2 species